UGGCGAACGGGUGAGUAACACGUGGGUAACCUGCCCAUCAGAAGGGGAUAACACUUGGAAACAGGUGCUAAUACCGUAUAACACUAUUUUCCGCAUGGAAGAAAGUUGAAAGGCGCUUUUGCGUCACUGAUGGAUGGACCCGCGGUGCAUUAGCUAGUUGGUGAGGUAACGGCUCACCAAGGCAACGAUGCAUAGCCGACCUGAGAGGGUGAUCGGCCACACUGGGACUGAGACACGGCCCAGACUCCUACGGGAGGCAGCAGUAGGGAAUCUUCGGCAAUGGACGAAAGUCUGACCGAGCAACGCCGCGUGAGUGAAGAAAGGUUUUCGGAUCGUAAAAACUCUGUU
rnacentral:rRNA from 1 species